rnacentral:lncRNA from 1 species
UUAUAUGAGUUAAGUAUAUCAUCCAGGAAAUUUCAGAAAGUGAAAAAGGACAUUGGCAGAUGCAUUAUUAUAGAUAUUACAGCAGCUAUCACUCAACUGCAUUUUACAUUCGAGAAAUUAGGUACUCACCGCCUACAAGCAAUCAACAAGCGAAUGAACCACUGGGAUGAGCGAGCAUUCCUCUGCAAGUACUAGAAACAAAUAAGACAUAAAAAGAAAUAAUAUUAUAGAGGACUAAUAAGCAGGAGCUUUAUUAAUUUGUAUAGCAAAUAAUCCAUGCAUAUUUUUUUUUAUAAAAUCAGUUGUGUGGGGGAUUGUAGGGUGGCUUGUGUUCUGGUGGCUUGUGUUCUGGGAAUGGCUUCCCUACUUUAGGGUGUUCGAAAACCGGUGGCUUUGGGAAAGGCUUCCCAAUCUUUGGAGGCUCGUAGAUUGGAGGCUUAGGGAAUGGCUUGUCAAUCUUGGGAGGCUUUGGAAAAGGCUUGUCAACCUUCGGAGGCUCGUAAACUGGAGGCUUUGGAAAUGGCUUGUCGAUCUUGGGAGGCUCAUAAACUGGAGGCUUUGGAUAUGGCUUGUCAAUCUUGGGAGGCUUUGGGAAUGGCUUGUCAAUCUUGGGAGGCUUUGGGAAUGGCUUGUCAAUCUUGGGAGGUUUUGGGAGUGGCUUGUCAAUCUUGGGAGGCUUUGGGAAUGGCUUGUCAAUCUUGGGAGGCUUUGGGAAUGGCUUAUCAAUCUUGGGAGGCUUUGGGACAGGCUUGUCAAUCUUGGGAUGUUCGUAAAAUGGUGGCUUAGAGUAAUCAGCAAGAGAUGGAGUGGCGAGAAGUACCACCACCCCAAGGAGCAACACUGGCAAGUAUGUUAGAGACAUCUUGUUCGCUUUGUUUUUCGAUGAUACAAAAUUAGGAACUGGUGCUCUUUUAUAGAGUUCCUGUGACUACGUUGGC